CAGGAAAGGCGUUCCGUCGCUGACUCGGAGAGAGUCAGAGGAAAGUCCGGGCAACAUAGAGCGCUGCACUUGCUAACGACAAGAUGUCCGUAAGGGUAUGCUCAACGUAACAGAGAAUAACCGCCCGAAUCUUCGGGUAAGGGUGAAAAGGUAGGGUAAGAGCCUACCGAAUCGGCGGUGACGUCGAUUGCCGUACGCGCUGCAGGUUGCAAGACCGUGUAUACCGACCUUUGAGGGUUGCUCGCUCGAAACUUCAGGUUGGGUCGGAGGGUAGGUUGCUUAGAAUUGGCAGGUGACUGUCAAUCCAGAUAAAUGACGGAAACCUCAGAGUUUUAGUUCGACAUUCGUUUCAUAGUUGUAGAGGUACAGAACCCGGCUUAUAACUUUUCCUGUUUU
rnacentral:RNase_P_RNA from 1 species